UGCAUUAUGAUAGUCUUUAAUUAUAUGAUCGCAUACUAUUUUAUUUAUAUAUAUAUAUUUUAUACAGAGUCUCAAUGCGUGGAUGAGAUGAUGGUGUAGAGAGGAGGGGUUUAGAUUCAUUAGGAACUGGGGAAACUUUUGGGAUGUGGGGAGCCUAUACAGGAAGGAUGGGCUCCACCUAAACCAAAGUGGAACCAGACUGCUGGCACUUAACAUUAAAAAGGUUGCAGAGCAGUUUUUAAACUAGGAGAUGGGGGAAAGCCAACUGCUGCAGAGGAGCUUGUGGAUCAGACAGAGAUUUCUUUUAGAGGAGAGUCUAUUGAUAGAGAUUCUCUAGGUUAUAGUCAGGAGCAGAGGAUGGAAGAGGAUAAUGUAAGGGCCAGAUCAGACCAAAAACAUCCACAUAAAGAAUCGGACACAUCAGAAAACGGCAGACAAAUAAACAGUGACAAGUUUUUAAAGUGCUUGUACACAAAUGCUAGAAGUCUAAAUAAUAAGAUGGGUGAACUAGAGUGCCUUGUGAUAAAGGAGGAUAUUGAUAUAAUAGGCAUCACAGAAACCUGGUGGACUGAGGACAAUCAAUGGGACACAAUCAUUCUGGGGUACAAAAUAUAUUGGAAGGACAGAACAGGUCGUGCGGGGGGUGGGGGAGUGGCACUAUAUGUGAAAGAAAAUGUAGAAUCAAAUGAAGUAAAAAUUUUAAGUGAAUCCACAUGUUCCAUAGAAUCUCUAUGGAUAGUAAUUUCAUGCUCUAAUAAGAAUAUAACAUUAGGGAUCUAUUAUCAACCACCUGACCAGGACAGUGAUAGUGAUGAUGAAAUGCUAAGGGAAAUUAGAGAGACUAUCAAAAUUAAGAACUCAAUAAUAGUGGGGGAUUUCAAUUAUCCCCAUAUUGACUGGGAACAUGUCACCUCAGGACGAAAUGCAGAGACAAAAUUUCUCGAUACUUUAAAUGACUGCUUCUUGGAGCAGCUGGUAUGGGAACCCAUGAGGGGAGAGGCAACUAUAGAUUUAGUCCUGAGUGGAGCGCAAGAGCUGGUCCAAGAGGUAACUAUAACAGGACCGCUUGGAAAUAGUGACCAUAAUAUAAUAACAUUUAACAUCACUAUGGUGGGAAGAACAUCUCAACAGCCCAACACUGUGGCAUUUAAUUUAAAAAAGGGGAACUAUGCAAAAAUGCGGGGGUUAGUUAAACAGAAAUUAAAAGGUACGGUGACUAAAGUGAAAUCCCUGCAAGCUGCAUGGACACUUUUUAAAGACACCAUAAUACAGGCCCAACU
rnacentral:lncRNA from 1 species